UACGAAGGGGGCUAGCGUUGUUCGGAAUUACUGGGCGUAAAGCGCACGUAGGCGGGCGAUUAAGUCAGGGGUGAAAUCCCGGAGCUCAACUCCGGAACUGCCUUUGAUACUGGUCGUCUAGAGAUCGGAAGAGGUGAGUGGAGUUCCCAGUGUAGAGGUGAAAUUCGUAGAUAUUGGGAAGAACACCGGUGGCGAAGGCGGCUCACUGGUCCGAUACUGACGCUGAGGUGCGAAAGCGUGGGGAGCAAACAGG
rnacentral:rRNA from 1 species